GUAAAGACUUGAAGGGCAGCUUGAGAGUAUAGUUGUAUAGUCAUCAGUGGAGCUGUGUUAGUUUGUUACAAGAUGAUAAGCAGAUUGGUUUUCUACUGUUGUCUAUUCUUACAAUUUAUAUUAUUUAACAUCACAAUGGCUAAAGUUAGUACAGCUUGUCUUGGUUCAUCAGGGAUAGCUUGUACUGAACAUAGACUGAUCUGUAUAGAACCAUUGGUUAUAUCAAUAACUAAUAUAACGUUUGGAUAUAGACAAGGGUGUGUACCUGUAUCUAGCUGUAGUGAUACAGGGUGUUGUAGAGAAGAGACUGGAGAUUGUGUUACACCUUACAACCAGACUCUUCUAUUACAACAACAACAAACCUGUGAUGGGAGAUCAACUUGUAUUCUUAAUGGUUUGAAUGAAAGAUCUUCAUCUUGUUUUAAUGGUAGUCCUAUAUAUCAUUCUUACAGCAAGA